rnacentral:lncRNA from 1 species
UCCUGAAGCCACCUUGCCUAACGGACCAGGAGAAAAUUUCAAACUUGUCUUCAUCAAUCCCUACUAGGAUACCACCAGCCGCACCGGUGUCAGGCAAAGAAUUUCAGGCAAAUUUAAGAAAACCAUUAAAUUGCACAAAAAGCCAGGACUGAAGUCAUUUUCUUUGUUUCAGAAAAGGCCACUAAAUCAGGCUAAGUCUUGUAAGUUGUAGCAAUACACAUCCUUCAUGCAUCUCACUCUAUUGAGGAUUUGAGGUUAUUAAAAACCCGGACAUUCCAAAUCACACUAGUCAUUUAAGCAGCAAUCUUUUGCAGUUGUAGUUGUAAUAAGGGAUUGAAUUUAUUUAGAUUAUGGCAUGCCUGAAAAUAUAAAAUAUAUAACCAGAGAUUUGGAACCAUCAUCUCAGGUAAAAACCAGCAUACAUAUUGCUUAGGAAAUAAUAUGACUUUGGUAAGACGUGGACAAGUCUAAAUUUGCUUGAAACAGACGCGGCAAAGAGACAAUCGUAACUUUUGUUGGACGGAGAGAGGCGAUUGGAAGAGCUGAAUUUUAUUGUUGUUGCUUGAAUUCUGCAGUACCAUAUGAUGAGUAGCAAAGAGCCUGAGAGAAUACAUGUACUUGAAGAGAGGGAGUACCUUUUGAUAAGCUAGGAAAUGCAGGUGGCAUUGGAGAAUCCUGGGCCUGCACUCCAUAAAUCUACAUUGUACAGUUAACAAAUGCAGUUGUUGCGCUCUGUUCAAACAGUAUAACAGUUAAGUACUAUGGUGCUAUAUCUCCUAGUGAGACUCAAAUAAAAAUACCAAGUACAGAGAAUGGAAAACAGGGGACAAUUCUAGCUGAAUUUCAAACCAAAUAUAACUGGAUUUCCGCAUCAAGGUGGAAGACAGGGGACAUGUUCUAGCUUGGGGCCCUUUCCUUUACUCCCUGAAUCUGUAACUGAAAUCAUGUGCCUGUACGGCUGUACCUCAGAUUGGCACUCUUGUGCUCUGAACUUUGGUCCAAAUGCUGUGUUUUCAGCCCAGCGAAACGAGGGGUAAGGGCAUCUCCAGCCGGC